rnacentral:rRNA from 1 species
UACAGAGGUCUCAAGCGUUGUUCGGAUUCAUUGGGCGUAAAGGGUGCGUAGGUGGCGCGGUAAGUCGGGUGUGAAAUCUCGGAGCUUAACUCCGAAAUUGCAUUCGAUACUGCCGUGCUCGAGGACUGGAGAGGAGACUGGAAUUCAUGGUGUAGCGGUGAAAUGCGUAGAUAUCAGGAGGAACACCUGUGGCGAAAGCGGCGCACUGGACCACAACUGACGCUGAGGCGCGAAAGCUAGGGGAGCAAACAGG